GCUCGGAUAACUCAGUGGUAGAGUACGGGAUUGCAGCGAGAUGAUGCUCAUCGGGCGAGUUAUCCUGAAGUCGUCGGUUCGAUCCCGGCUCCGAGCU
rnacentral:tRNA from 1 species